GUUGGGAAUGUUGAUUUCCAUGAAUGUCGUAAUCACCAUCUUGAAUGUAUUCAAAGACAAAGAUCGUCUGCUACCUAAAGAAGAUUCUGCUAGUGAAUGCGACCGUAAAAAGUAAAAACCACACUAUUGACACGAACAAACCAAAAAGUCAUCCAUGCAACAUGCAUCUAGAGUAAAGAAGCGAGAUGGAAAGCAGUACGUCUUUGGCAUGUACUCUCACAAGGUGGUUACUGUACGUCGAAACAUUUACCCUUUCGACUGGUGGCUGGCGUUUGGACCCUGGCCGCUUUCAUUUUCGUCCAGGCUUACACUUCUACCCUAUUCACCUACGUCGUGGCACCUGUCAAUCCCCUGUUUAUUAAUUCCAUGCACGGCGUCGCUGAAAGUACCAAUGUCCACCUACUUAUUCGAUUUCGUUCAACUAUGGAUGUUAUUGUUAUGGAAAGUUGAUGGUGAUUCAAAUUAAUGAAUUUCCAAUUUGUCGUAUAGAUUGAUGCACAUUAUUCUAUUUUAUAUGGAUAGCUGUACCCAAAAGCAUUCCAACAUGACGUCAGGGGUGUUUGUGAAACUGCAAAACAAAAUUCUCUCUUCACCUCAUCCCCGAUGCAACUUGAUAUCACAGGGACUCAGUUUAAUUACGCCAGGUUCCAGAAACGCUUUUGCCAGCCAGUGGGAUAUCCUACCAUUUGGAGGCCAUCAAGAAUAAUUUCAAAAAAACGAGAAAAUGUGGUUUGCAAUUGGCAGGUGAUUGUUUCCUGAGUUCCUCCGUUAAUUUUUCACUUAAAAAACACAGCCCCUACGCCAAACGAUGAACAAAGGGCUUUUGGACCUGCUUCAAACUGGAUUGAUGACCACCGGAAAUCUUGGGUCCGCCCAAUGCCACGUCAGUGUAUGGCCAACGUGAAAACAGGAUACAAGAAACCGGAAACUAAGCAAACGCCUAUUUCCCUGAAAAAUUUGAAGGUGCUUAUCUCCUUCUUGGCCUUCCUCGUCGAGCAAAUCAUUUCGAUCAUGAAUGAUGGUAACUUAUUAUUUACGAUCGCAACGUCAUCUCCUGAAAUUUAAAAUCAACCAACUGGCAGCAUCUAUGUCGAUGGCGUCUUGUGACUGAAACUGAGCGGAACUUGAUAACGAAAUGUACUAAUCUAUUAGACAUUUAGAUAACUAUCAAACUAGUUUGGCCAAAUAGUUAAGGAGCCAAACUUGCCUUUUUUCUUUGUAGAGUCGUAGGUUCAGACCCCAGCAGACGUGGUUUACUUGGCAAGGAACAUUAAAAGGUUAUGAGUAUAUGCAAUUCCGUUAUUACAGUUUUUGAAAAUGUUUCUUACAUCAUGAAUUCGCUGCUGUAAACUGAGAAGGCAUAAAAACACAGCUGAAUGAUGGAAACCAAACUCACAUCUGUAAUAUUUAAAUCGGCUGCGAAAUUAAAUUUGUAUAACCGCA